GGGGGUUCUUGUCAUACGGCACAAAAAGCACCAGCAUGAAAACUCUGGCCUGUUUGCAUCGUUGUGGAUUAUUGGAACCCCCCUUAAGGGGGUCCCACCACUCUGACACUGAUGUUGGAUAGCGGGCGUUUUCAAAAAGCUAGCAGCCCCGUGAGCUAUUUUUCUGUUUCCGUUGGUGUUUCUCAUAGGUAUUAAAGCGUAGAAACAUCAGUAUUUGGGCGUUCAAUCCGCCAGUAAACCAAGAGAAGAGGAAGAAGAAGGAUUUGAGCAUUACUGACACAAGUUUGCAGCAGCAACAGGUGACAUGAGGGAUGACUGACGUUCUGUCGCGCUCGUUAAGCUCCGGUUAGCUAGUUCGCUCAUGAGUUUUUGGCCACUGGACGUCAUGUCCUUUCAUUUGGAUUAAACUACCAUUUGGAUGUAAUUUUCUUUUUUUGCUGGACUGGAUUUGGAUUCAAAUGGCAGCUAUAAGAUGAAGACAUCAUUGGAAGGAGGUCACUGGGAGAGGGAGAGGACCAAAGAGCAAAACAAUUUUGGAGGAGGACAAGGACUAAGGCACAACUGGUUCUGGCCCCUGAGACCCUCGUAAUUAGCAAAUCUUCUUCAUGUAAGCUCUCACUAUGAUAAACUUCGAAACAAGAGACUGGGAGGAGAGAGCUAUUAAAGACCACACCAUAUUUAUGUCAGGUGGCAGAGUCAAAAGGUAG